rnacentral:rRNA from 1 species
AUUGAACGCUGGCGGCAGGCCUAACACAUGCAAGUCGAACGGUAACAGGAAACAGCUUGCUGUUUCGCUGACGAGUGGCGGACGUGUGAGUAAUGUCUGGGAAACUGCCUGAUGGAGGGGGAUAACUACUGGAAACGGUAGCUACUACCGCAUAACGUCGCAAGACCAAAGAGGGGGACCUUCGGGCCUCUUGCCAUCGGAUGUGCCCAGAUGGGAUUAGCUAGUAGGUGGGGUAACGGCUCACCUAGGCGACGAUCCCUAGCUGGUCUGAGAGGAUGACCAGCCACACUGGAACUGAGACACGGUCCAGACUCCUACGGGAGGCAGCAGUGGGGAAUAUUGCACAAUGGGCGCAAGCCUGAUGCAGCCAUGCCGCGUGUAUGAAGAAGGCCUUCGGGUUGUAAAGUACUUUCAGCGGGGAGGAAGGGAGUAAAGUUAAUACCUUGACUCAUUGACGUUACCCGCAGAAGAAGCACCGGCUAACUCCGUG